rnacentral:sRNA from 12 species
AAAAAUCUUACCAUUAUAUAUUAUUAGAUUUACAAUUUAUGUUCAAGCAGGACAUAGCGGUUAGGCACUAAACCGUGUAGCGCCAAAAAUGGUGGUACUAUGAAUUGUUGCAGGGGGAGAGUCGCCCCAGAAAUAACAGGCUUGGCGGUACUCUGAAUACAGGGGUGCUUUAUUGACGCUAUAAGACAAUAAAGGUAAGUUUGUUGCGUCUAUUGUGGGGCAGAGUUCACAAGAACAAGCGAUAUAGCUUGAAAUAAAGCAAGU